rnacentral:misc_RNA from 1 species
UCUCCGUUGGUGAACCAGCGGAGGGAUCAUUACAGGAUCGAAAGACUCCUAUAACCCCUGUGAACUUACUACAAAUACGUUGCUUCGGCGGGUGCCCCGGGUCUCCCGGGGCGUUCAGCCCGCCGGCAGCCUUCAAAUUCUGUUUCUUUGCGUUGGCAUCUCGAGUAUACAAAAAUAAGUUAAAGCUUUCAACAACGGAUCUCUUGGUUCUG